CAGGGUCUUGCUGGAAGGAUCAGAGAUCUUGAGCGUGGAGACAAGCAACUCAAAUCAUCACCUAGUGGUUGUUAUCCAGUAUAUCUACACUUCAGGGCUGUCUGUGAGGGUGCACAUAUUCUACUUCUGUGCUACACACACAGUAGUCACAGGCCCUGUGUGCUGACUGGAC